GACGAACGCUGGCGGCGUGCCUAAUACAUGCAAGUCGAGCGAACAGAUAAGGAGCUUGCUCCUUUGACGUUAGCGGCGGACGGGUGAGUAACACGUGGGUAACCUACCUAUAAGACUGGAAUAACUCCGGGAAACCGGGGCUAAUGCCGGAUAACAUGUUGAACCGCAUGGUUCUACAGUGAAAGGCGGCUUUGCUGUCACUUAUAGAUGGACCCGCGCCGUAUUAGCUAGUUGGUGAGGUAACGGCUCACCAAGGCAACGAUACGUAGCCGACCUGAGAGGGCGAUCGGCCACACUGGAACUGAGACACGGUCCAGACUCCUACGGGAGGCAGCAGUAGGGAAUCUUCCGCAAUGGGCGAAAGCCUGACGGAGCAACGCCGCGUGAGUGAUGAAGGUCUUCGGAUCGUAAAACUCUGUUAUUAGGGAAGAACAAAUGCGUAAGUAACUGUGCGCGUCUUGACGGUACCUAAUCAGAAAGCCACGGCUAACUACGUG
rnacentral:rRNA from 1 species